rnacentral:rRNA from 1 species
UAAUACCGGAUAGAUCAAAGAUACUGGAAUGUUCCUUGAUCCAAAGCUCCGGCGUCCAAGGAUGGAUCUGCGGCUUAUCAGGUAGUAGUGGGUGUAACGUACCUACUAGCCUACGACGAGUACGGGUUGUGAGAGCAAGAGCCCGGAGAUGGAUUCUGAGACAUGAAUCCAGGCCCUACGGGGCGCAGCAGGCGCGAAAUCUUUACAAUGCAGGAAACUGCGAUAAGGGGACCCCGAGUGCCAGCAUCUAAUGCUGGCUGUCCAGCUGUGUAAAUAGCAGUUGUUAGCAAGGGCCGGGCAAGACCGGUGCCAGCCGCCGCGGUAACACCGGCGGCCCGAGUGGUAACCGAUUUUAUUGGGUUUAAAGGGUCCGUAGCCGGCCUGUUAAGUCUCUUGGGAAAUCUGGCGGCUCAAUCGUCAGGCGUCC